rnacentral:lncRNA from 1 species
UCUUCUCUCACCUCUCUCUCUCUUUCUCUUCUCUCAAUCUGAUUUGUUUGCUAUAUAUCCAUAGGUAAAGACCAUCUCUAUUUAUAGAUGAACCCCAUAACCUAAUAAAUAUAAGACUCCUAACUCAAAUCUGAUUUGAAUCAGUCUAAUACUCAUAAAAGAAAAUUUUCUACAUGAGAUAUAAUUGCCAUCAUAUAUAACAACCACAUUGCACCCAAUCCCUCACCCACAUGGGAUGCCCCAAACCAGCACCAUUCUAGAUGUUGAUCAGCCCAUAUGAGAGAGAAAUCUCAAUGCAAGAAGGAUUUCUCACAUUUCAUUGAAAACGGAUCCGAUUCGAAUUCAAUUCGAAGCUGGUUCGAAAUAAUUUCAAAAGACUGUCAAUCCCAAACUCUUUAAGACUUUUGUACUAAGUCUAACUUGGAUUUUGGAUCCAAUUAAGCCUAAUUAAUUCAGAUCUAAUCUAAAAUUAAUUAGUAUUUAAAUCCAAUAUUUCAUAUGCUCCAUGGAUCAUAGAUCAGAAACUGUUCAUCCCCGAGAUCGAACCUGAACCUCAUGUAUAGUGCUAGCUAGACAUAAUCAACUCUUCAAUACUGUUUGACCCAUAACUUAAUUCUCAAUCAAGUUAGCUUAUAUGUUCAAUCAAAUCAAGUACUUCCAAAUUGGAUAUAUAAAUAUAGAUCAAUUUUUUUUUACUUUGUCUGACUUGUGUGCAUGACCCUAUAGGUUCAAACACUAAAUCGAUAGUAUAGAAACUAAUUUCUGCACUAAUCGAGAUACCAUCUAGCAAUGGUUCCCGACAUUCAGAUAGAUCAAAUUAUCAUAAAAAAAUAUUUCAGAAUCUAUAUAUAUGAUUACUGCAAAAUUCAUCUUUUUGACUCUGAAUGCUCUAGGAUGGUCUCAGGUUAACUAUCAAUCGAGAUUGCUCCAUCC